rnacentral:rRNA from 1 species
AUGCACGCUAGCUACAGGCUUAACACAUGCCAGUCGAGGGGCAGCGGUAUCGAAAGCUUGCUUUCGGUAGCCGGCGACCGGCGCACGGGUGAGUAACGCGUAUCGAACCUGCCUCAUACUCGGGAAUAGCCUUGCGAAAGUAAGAUUAAUGCCCGGUGUUUUCAGAGUCCCGCAUGAGGCUUUGAACAAAGAUUUAUCGGUAUGAGAUGGCGAUGCGUCCCAUUAGCUUGUUGGCGGGGUAACGGCCCACCAAGGCAUCGAUGGGUAGGGGUUCUGAGAGGAAGGUCCCCCACAUUGGAACUGAGACACGGUCCAAACUCCUACGGGAGGCAGCAGUGAGGAAUAUUGGUCAAUGGGCGGAAGCCUGAACCAGCCAAGUAGCGUGCAGGAAGACGGCCCUCCGGGUUGUAAACUGCUUUUAGUUGGGAAUAAAACGGGGCUCGUGAGCCCCCUUGCAUGUACCAUCAGAAAAAGGACCGGCUAAUUCCGUG